UUAGUUCAGACGACGUGGUUAGUUAGUUAAGACGACGCAAUAUAUAAACCUACGAGGUAUUAUUUUAGAAGUACAAACCUCAUAUAUACAGCCAAUACAGUAGCUCCAAUUUCUUCCAUGCCUGCAAAUUGUGUAAUAUCUUCAGGCAGGAGGAAGGUAUCGCGCUCACCACCAAACACCUCCUUAUCAAUUGUAAAUUGGAGUGUCUUAUCCUCAG
rnacentral:lncRNA from 1 species